rnacentral:rRNA from 1 species
GAUGAACGCUGGCGGCGUGCCUAAUACAUGCAAGUCGAGCGAACGGACGAUACGCUUGCUUCUCUGAUGUUAGCGGCGGACGGGUGAGUAACACGUGUAUAACCUACCUAUCAUACUGGGAUCACUUCGGGAAACCGUAUCUAAUACCGUAUAAUAUUUUGAACCGCAUGGUUCAAUAGUGAAAGACGGUCUUGCUGUCACUUAUCGAUGGAUCCGCGCUGCAUUAGCUAGUUGGUAAGGUAACGGCUUACCAAGGCAACGAUGCAUAGCCGACCUGAGAGGGUGAUAGGCCACACGGGAACUGAGACACGGUCCAGACUCCUACGGGAGGCAGCAGUAGGGAAUCUUCCGCAAAGGGCGAAAGCAUGACGGAGUAACGCCGCGUGAGUGAUGAAGGUCUUCGGAUCGUAAAAAUCUGUUAUUAGGGAAGAACAUAUGUGUAAGUAACUGUGCACAGAUUGACGGUACCUAAUCAGAAAGCCACGGCUAACUACGUG